rnacentral:misc_RNA from 1 species
UUUCCGUAGGUGAACCUGCGGAAGGAUCAUUAACGAAUAACUAUGGUGUCUUGGUUGUAGCUGGCUCCUCGGAGCAUUGUGCACGCCCGCCAUUUUUAUCUAUCCACCUGUGCACCGACUGUAGGUCUGGAUGACUCUCGUGCUCUCUGAGUGCGGAUGCGAGGAUUGCCCUUCAACUCGGAGGUGUCUCUCCUCGAAUUUCCAGGCUCUACGUCUUUUUACACACCCCAAAAGCAUGAUAUAGAAUGUAGUCAACGGGCUUGAUCGCCUAUAAAACACUAUACAACUUUCAGCAACGGAUCUCUUGGCUCUC